AUCCCUCAAAAGAGCAAAGUUAACAUGGGAAUGUGUUUACAGUGUUUUUGGAAUGAAGGAAGCCCCGAUGAUGUAUUUAGAAGGGCUGGGUAUUGGCACAAAUUAUUUUAUUUUUAUAAAUAAUAAAUUAAAUUAUUUUUAUAUUUAUUUAUUUUUUUGUCGUAGAGUGCACUGUGACAAACAUACUCCCGGUUCACCCAAAAGUUAAGAUUCUGUCAUAAUUUACUCUCCCUCAUGUUGUUUUAAUUUAGAUUAAAUUUAGGCUUUUAUUCACAUAUAAACAUUGAUCAUCACACAUACAUAGAUCUCAUCAAAUAUGGCAAACACGGAAGCUCAACAUGCCUGCUAGACAAGCGGGGACCAAUGAGGUUUGCUUUGGCACAUGAAGCAAGCAAGGUUGAGUAUGUAUGUGUAGGUACGCUGAUCAAAGAUUAUAUGUGCAUAAAGGCCUGCAGACUUUGUAAAGGGUUUUAGGAAAAAUUGGGCACCAUUCACUAAACAAACGAGGAUCAUACUUUGCCAAACUUUCAAGAUGUUCUAAAGCAAAAACACACAGCCUUGUUGCCAAGACAAAUGAAACAAUGUGUUCUAAAGUUGGCCCAAAAUAUAAAAAAAUGUUUGAUAUCCUUCAACUGGAAGGAAUUAUAAUCUGAAGCUUAAAAAAAAAAAAAAAAAUCUGUGCCCAUCAUACACUAUGUGGUUUCUGUGAAAUCGACUGCCCAAUAAUGCACCUUGGUUCUGACUAUCCGUAACUAGCAUCGGAUGAAGCGUCCAGACUAUAAAUUGGGUCAAAAUUCCAGACAAAAGUUGUGAAGUGUUUUCCAGCUUUAAAGCUAUCUUGUCUCUUCAGAAGACUUCUUGUAUUAAACAGCUCUGUUCAUAUGGAUUACUUUUAAGAUAUCUCAAUGAAUUUUUUGACAAAUUAAAGUUUUGGCUGCAUUGACUUUCAAUGGAUGGACAAAAAUGAAGAGAGAAUAUUAAAAAUGUCUUCAUUUGUGUGCCGAAGAAAAACAAAAGUCUUACGGUCUUGACAUUAGGGCGAGUAAAUGAUGACAGAAUCUCCAUUUCUGGGUGAACUAUUUCUUUCAUUUUCUCAUUUGUGCAUUUUGUAAUAUUUUGGGCCCUUACAGGUUAAUAAAGCAAAUAUAAUGCAGCAUUAUGUUGCAAGAUUUGGAAUGACGUAGAAAUUUAAAUAAUAAAAUCCCACAUGUGAUGUUAAAAAUGUUUUACUUGUGCGCUAAAAAUAGGCAUGCAUUAAAAUGAUCUUGUGGUUUUAAGAAUGAUAUUUGAUCUUGCAAUUGAUGGUAAAGAUAUAUAUUUU